rnacentral:lncRNA from 1 species
AGACUUGGCUCUUUACCUGAAGGAACAGUGGAGUGACCCAGCGUCCCGGGUGCCUUGACUGACUGGAUUUCGUUUGGGGCUUUUUAUGUAUCUAUACGCCAAAGAUUUGAGCAGAGGACAAAGAAAAAAUAGUCAACUCUGAGCAAUAGCACCUAUUUCAUUUUUCCAUAGUUGACACAGAUGUUACUGAAAAUGACCCACUUAUUUCUUAGGAGAAAAAUAUAAAAGGACUAGUUGUGGGGAUUUGAUUUUUACAAAGUCCCCAUUAGGGAGACUGUUAGCUAGCAGACAGAUUCUAUCUUUAACCACUCGAUGAUUUUAAAUGGGAAAAGAACAAUCCUUCAUAAAGAACAAUCAUGAUGCUGCCCUCUUCCCAGGAGCUCUAUCGUGCCUAACUCUUAGACAUCAAUUUGUACCUUUCAUUCACAUCAGUUAGCUACCCGAGCAUAUGUCUCCACCAGUGAUGAGUAUAGGAACACAUGGAAUGCCCCAGCUUUGGAAUCAGACUUCCAGAAAUACAACAUGCUCCAUCCAGGACUUCAGGUACAUCAUGUAUGGCACUCAGUCCAUUUGCCUGUCUGUAUAAUUGAAUAACCUAACUCCUUCCUUUGAGUGGUUGUGCAUGUAAUUCUUAUCACAACGGCAGUGCAGUCUCUCUGUAAUAGUGACUAUGUGCUGUAUUGGCUCCUGCUAUAAUCACAGUCAUACACUCUGGAUCCAAAACACCUCUAAGAUUCCACUGUACUGGAAGGUGUUCAUCCCUUGUUCUAUAUUGCACAAUCCAAUGCAGCUUUAUUUCAUAUUUUAGGCCCCAAAUUUGUUUCUCUCAUGUGCUCAUCUUUGCUAAGGAGGGAAGGUAGAAGCUAUCAAAGAUUACCAGCUCUUAUUUUACCAGGUUAUCAUCUGACACUAUGUAUUACUAUUUUAUUAACUUACUUAACACAAAGACUAAUAUUUCCAACUCUUUUAGCUGAUUAUCAUUUCUAUCAGAUUCUUAGUUUACUAAAACUAUCCUUAAUCAAAAUGCAGUAGAGGACUCAGUGCUUUUUUAAAACAGUGGGGUUUGUCAGUGAUGUCUGUGGACCAUUAUAAAAACCAACAUAGUUCAAUAGCCCCAAGGAUGGAGAGCCUGUUCUCAUACCUUGGCAGCAACAGCACUCUAAUUGGACUAAAGACAUGCUCAGCAAGAGGAAAAUAAUGUCUGUUACUAGAAACCUAGCCAACUUAUUCAGUACUAGUGUAGAUCUUGAAAGAGCACUUAGAAUCACCAUUUACUAAACCAGCAUAACCCCCAACUAUACUCCAAGUAUUCAUCCUUACACCUUCACCCCUCAUCAAGGAAACUUCUCUUUGUCACAAACAGAAAUCAUUACAGAACAACCCAUCUAGUCAAAACACGCAGCUAAGGAGCCCAGUCCUGGUAGAUAAGUCUACGAACACACCUCUCCAUUUAAGUCUCAGAGAACAUGGUGGAAGAGGGUCAGAAAAGAUUAUAAGAGCCAGAAGAUCAGGGAAGUAUAUAUGAAAUCGUGUCUCCUAGUAAUGUCACAUGGUACACCCAUAAAGACUCAACGACAUGGACAACAACAAUAAAUAUGCCAAAGUGAACAGGAACAAAAAGAUCAGCAAGCCUCAACCCUGCACAAAGAAUUAAGGACUUGGAGAAGCCAAGCUAGGACCUGGAAACUCUCUCCAUACCGGCCAGCUUCUGUGGUAUAGAAGGUGAAGGUGCCACGCAGUCUGCUGGAGUCACCAACCGGCAACAAUGGCCAAACUGAUGGCUCAGAAAACGAGGGAGCCAAGAGACUUUCAAAGGUGGAGGUUGGUGGGGACUAAUGCUAAACAGUGUUUGUGGACAUGACCGGGCUGGUGCUUUCAUGAACACAGAGCAUCUGCGAUUGCUACCAUCAGACUAGCCCGAGAUCAAGCCAGAGAGCAGCUCACCAGGAAUGAAGGAGAGGGGUGCUUACACAAAACUGAAGUCCUAUUGCUAUUUGACAGUUGCUGUGGAAAGAGAGUCAUUCUUUGGAGAUCUGGUACUCCAGUGGAUGAUUAGCUUCUCAUGCAAGUGUAUAUUUACAAGGCUCAUUGAGCCAAUUGGGUAAAAAAUAAGUAAAAUAGAAGAGGACGUAGAGUUGAAAUGGAAACAUGAGGGGUUUGGGAGAAGUUGGAAGGGAGAUAGGGAUAAAAAUGAGCAGAAUGAAUUAUAUACAGAUAUGAGAUUCUUAAAGAAAAGACAAAAUAUUACAUUCACACAUAUUUAUAUUUUAACCUGUUAUAUUUAUUAUUCCAUGUUAUAUAAUACUAUUAUUUAAUAUGAAAAUAUAAAAAUAUAUUUAAUUUAAUUUAAAUGUAUAUAGAUAUAUUUGAAAGUUUGUUUUAGGUAGAAAGAUGCUCUUCUGUGCAAUGAAAUGAGGCUGGAAGUCACGAGGGUUUUCCAGGUCUUUUACAAAUGCGUUAAAGUUUAAUACCUCAUUAAUGGAAUGCAAUAAGCCUCGCAAUCAAGGCAGUACCUGUAAAGUAUUCCUGUUGAUUUCAAGGUGGUGAUUUUCAAAGUAAUUUCUGACUUCUCAUACUGUGCAUAAAAUCAGACAUUAUGUCCCCAAAUAACCUUUCAUUUACUGCAGGAAAGAGUAGACCCCAGCGGAUCCCCUUGCCACUGCGUGAAGUGACCUUCAAUUGAUUGUUCUGAGAUAAUGACUUGAUUAGACUCAGGAUAGCCGUCCAGUUCUAAUGUUUUGGGGUCAUUACAGUUUCAAGCCCUCGACAUGAUUUGUAGUGAUUCAGAACAAUGCUUCCUUAAAUUGGUGUUCAUGAUCUUUUUUUUCACUUUCCU